CGCUGAUCGAUGUUUUUUGCCUUCGACAUGUUUGUUUCAUGGCUUUCCAUAAUACCACUAGUAUGAAUCGCUGUAUACGAAUCUCCGAAAUAAACCCCUACAUCGGAUGAAUCUAGUUCAAUGCCAAAGGCAGAUGACCUUUUGCUACUUACCUUGCGAGCCGGCUAUGUAUGAUCUGACUGUCGACCAACCAUACAGGGAUAAUACUGCAGCAAUUGGCAUACAUGCCACAGCGCAUAGAAAUAAGUUCAUUUUCGGUUCGAUAUAUGACCUAAACGUGUGAACAUACCAACUUGUGUAUCAAUCAGUUCAAGUACACCGAUGACUCUGAUAUAUUGUACGGAAUGGACACCAGAGCUGAGCACAGUUAUUCCUCAAUUCAAACCAUUCAUGUAUUCAGGAUAGAAUCUUCCAAGCAUACAUCAAGAUCAAUCCAAUAUGAACCUUGAGAUUCUGGGUCCGCAGUAUUCUAUUCGGCCUACGUGUUCGAUACCUACAAAAUGGCAUCAGUUAACAGACAAGGAGCCCCAUCAGUCAUGCUACAAACACAAACUUAUAAUUUGAAUUCGAAUCCCCAACGAACCCAGGGUGGAGUAUGCCAACAAUGUGGUUAUUGUUGCGCACUUAUCUGGAUAAUCAUCUCAUGUGUAUCGGUCUUCAUUGGAGUCAUAAACACUCUAGUUGGAAGCUUGAACGACGGAGCAAGCACGACAGGCAGCAGUCUGACGUUUGGAACGUCACCUCGAGCAGUUGACCGUACUCAGCUGUACAUUGGAAUAGGUUUUUUAGUAGUUGGAGUAGUAUUGUUGGUUCUUGCUAUCAUUUGUUGCCGAAGAAUCAAGCGCAGUAGUCCUAUCCCGACUAUGUACUCCGGUGCUGCCAUGACAACAACUGUUAUACAACCUCCACCUAUGCGAGCGACACGGGAUCAACAUGUCUACGUGUACUCGUCUCAACCAGCGGCACACCAAUCGAGGUCUAUUCCACAGCAUCGAUCUGAAGCAAACGAGUUCCAACCGGCUCAACCAGCUGUAAACCGGUAUCAUACUGCGGAGCCGUCGGCACCUUCUGAGGAACCACUGAAUAUACCGCCGCCGUCGUAUAAUGAAUUGAUGCAGUCCGACACAAACAAAGCAUUUCAUAGUGGAGUUAUGAUGACUGAUGUGUAAAUGAAAUAUCAUUAUAAUGAGGAAUGGUUAUAAGAAACCAUUGUAUUGACUCAAAGCUUGAUUAAAAAAAUCAACAAAGUUCCUUUUGGCGUAGUGAUCUAGUGGUUACGACUCUCGUCUAUCAAUCAGAGGGAGAUGGGUUCGAAUCCCAGCCAUAGAGUAUUUUCCUUUAGCAAGAAAUUUACCCACAUUACGCUGCACUGAAUUCAGGUGAGGUGAAUGGGUACCCGGCAGGAUGCGCACACGGCCUUUAGCAGCUGGCGGAAUAAACAUGGGUAAUAAUGUAGUGCGCCAUUAUUACAUCAGCAAUUGCGAGAUAAUCGGGGCCUCAUAAACGCUUUAUAUUAACAAGGUAAACAGACAGUACAGAAAAUACAAUCAAUGACAAUGUCUCAUCUCUGUUCCAGUAUAGUCAAGCGGCAUCACGAAGAUGCAGGAGCAGUCAUUGGAGCGUAUCCAAAAACGUGCCUGCCGGAUUAUACUGGGUCAUGAUAUACGGUACGCAGAUGCUAGAGAACACCUGAACAUACAUCCCCCCAGUGACAGAAGGUACCCUCUCCUGCUCUCUGUGUCAAGAGACCAUGCUUGACUCUUUUCCAAGCUCCAUCACCUCUUGUCCCCGCGUAGUAAACACGGAUGCAACACUAGGAACACUGGCAAAUUUGUGAACAUGCGGAGCAGGACUGAAAGACUUAUAGGAAUAGUCCAAUACCCUAUCUUACACGCCUGUUAUAAAUCAAUUUUAAUGUUUAAUGUUGUGUAAUCAACUUAUUGUCAUCGGGGGGGGGGGGGAGGGGGGGGGGUUAAUAACUAGUAUUUUCCAUGCUUGCAUGAAUUUGAUGGACCCCCCUCCGAGCUCUUGACGUGAAACAAUGACUAUGAUAUUUCAUUUUUACUCGAAUUGCAGAUUUUACCACUAAAGGCAUAUAAAUUGUUCCAAAUAAUAGCUUGAAUUACACAUUGUACAGCCAGCCUUAGGUAAUAAUAAUGAUAUCGACUGACUCUUCUUUCGGGAAACAUCAUAUUAAAUAUGCAUGUUGCCCUUAAAAGAACCAUAUUGCCCUCGUCUAAAGACUCGGACCAAGAUUCUGUUGCGGGUGUUAUAUUUGAUGUUCCCCUUAAGGCCAGUCAAUAUUAUAUUAUUAUUUACCAGAUAUCACCUUUUAUCCACAGAGUAUCCAAUUAAUACUCAUCAUCGGCGUUUGUUAAUCUUUAAGAAAUUUUGAAUUUUACCGUAUUCUAAUUUGAUUUGAAUAUUAACUUCAAAAUAUAUUUGCAUUCAUAUGAUUUAUUUUUCUAUGUUUCCUUUUUUGUCAUAUUUCACUUUCCAUUAUACCCAUCCUCCACCCACCUCUGGCUUUCAGAGUCCUCUCCCUACACCCCCUUCAGCUUCUUAUUCCUAUACCACUCUGUUUCUUUUACUUCUCUAUACUUCCUUCUAGUCCUACGUUUUCUUGAUUUCUUUCUUUCUCCUUCCAUUAUUAUCAAUCUUUGUUCUUGAUUUGAAGAUGUUAUGGUUUAUUAUAUAUAUAUUUUUUGUUGUAAUGUAUUCCUAGUAUGUGAUGUAGAUUCCUACCAGUUUAGCUUUGGGCUACCAUGUGGUUAUAAAUAAAUACCUCUUCAAAUCGGAAACGAAA